rnacentral:rRNA from 1 species
AUUGAACGCUGGCGGCAGGCCUAACACAUGCAAGUCGAGCGGAUGAGAGGAGCUUGCUUCUCGAUUCAGCGGCGGACGGGUGAGUAAUGCCUAGGAAUCUGCCUGGUAGUGGGGGACAACGUUUCGAAAGGAACGCUAAUACCGCAUACGUCCUACGGGAGAAAGCAGGGGACCUUCGGGCCUUGCGCUAUCAGAUGAGCCUAGGUCGGAUUAGCUAGUUGGUGAGGUAAUGGCUCACCAAGGCGACGAUCCGUAACUGGUCUGAGAGGAUGAUCAGUCACACUGGUACUGAGACACGGUCCAGACUCCUACGGGAGGCAGCAGUAGGGAAUAUUGGACAAUGGGCGAAAGCCUGAUCCAGCCAUGCCGCGUGUGUGAAGAAGGUCUUCGGAUUGUAAAGCACUUUAAGUUGGGAGGAAGGGUUGUAGAUUAAUACUCUGCAAUUUUGACGUUACCGACAGAAUAAGCACCGGCUAACUCUGUGCCAGCCGCCGCAGUAACAC